rnacentral:rRNA from 1 species
GACGAACGCUGGCGGCGUGCUUAACACAUGCAAGUCGAACGGAAAGGCCCUGCUUGCUGGGUCCUCGAGUGGCGAACGGGUGAGUAACACGUGGGUGAUCUGCCCUGCACUUCGGGAUAAGCCUGGGAAACUGGGUCUAAUACCGGAUAUGACCUUCCAUGAAGUGCGGGGGGUGGAAAGAUUUCUCGGUGUGGGAUGAGCGUGCGGCCUAACCGCUUGUUGGUGGGGUAAUGGCCUACCAAGGCGUCGGCGGGUAGCCGACCUGAGAGGGUGGACGGGCACCAUGGGCCUGAGAGAGGGCGCAGUCUGCUACGUGAGGCAACGGUGGAGAGUAUUGCACAGUGGGGGGAAGUGAUAUACGACGGCGCUGGGUUGGGGAAGACGGCUUACUGGUGAUGAACCUCUUUCGACAGAAACGAAACUUGGGUGACGGUACCUGUAUAAGAAGCACCGGCUAACUACGUG